UAUUUUGGACAAUGGGGGAAACCCUGAUCCAGCAAUGCCGCGUGCAGGAUUAAAGCCUUCGGGUUGUAAACUGCUUUUGUACGGAACGAAAAGUCUUGGGCUAAUACCCUGGGAUCAUGACGGUACCGUAAGUAUAAGCACCGGACAACUACGUGCCAGCAGCCGCGGUAAUACGUAGGGUGCAAGCGUUAAUCGGAAUUACUGGGCGUAAAGCGUGCGCAGGCGGUUUUGUAAGACAGUGAUGAAAUCCCCGGGCUCAACCUGGGAACUGCCAUUGUGACUGCAAGGCUGGAGUGCGGCAGAGGGGGAUGGAAUUCCGCGUGUAGCAGUGAAAUGCGUAGAUAUGCGGAGGAACACCGAUGGCGAAGGCAAUCCCCUGGGCCUGCACUGACGCUCAUGCACGAAAGCGUGGGGAGCAAACAGG
rnacentral:rRNA from 1 species